UAGGGAAUCUUCCACAAUGGACGCAAGUCUGAUGGAGCAACGCCGCGUGAGUGAAGAAGGUCUUCGGAUCGUAAAGCUCUGUUGUUGGUGAAGAAGGAUAGAGGCAGUAACUGGUCUUUAUUUGACGGUAAUCAACCAGAAAGUCACGGCUAACUACGUGCCAGCAGCCGCGGUAAUACGUAGGUGGCAAGCGUUGUCCGGAUUUAUUGGGCGUAAAGCGAGCGCAGGCGGAAUGAUAAGUCUGAUGUGAAAGCCCACGGCUCAACCGUGGAACUGCAUCGGAAACUGUCAUUCUUGAGUGCGGAAGAGGAGAGUGGAACUCCAUGUGUAGCGGUGGAAUGCGUAGAUAUAUGGAAGAACACCAGUGGCGAAGGCGGCUCUCUGGUCUGCAACUGACGCUGAGGCUCGAAAGCAUGGGUAGCGAACAGGAUUAGAUACCCUGGUAGUCCA
rnacentral:rRNA from 1 species